UGUUUAAUGUUAUUUGUGACUUUUAUUAACAAAAUUUUUGUACCUUUACUAAAUAAUUAAAAAAAUCACAUACAAGAUCAUCAGACUCUUUCUAAACUGAUAGAUUUUACUUUUUUAACAUCUUGGUGAAAAACUCUAUAACAAGAAAAGUACCAGAAUCGCUAUGUAAAUUGAAGUAAUUUGAAACAUGUGGGGUUGGUAUCACGAUACGUCCGGAUAUUCCUACGCGGACAGUGUUUUGACAGAAUUUUGACACUUUUUUAUUGUAAAAGUUUUAAAAUACCUGCGUGUCAUGUGUCAUAGCAAAUACCAUGAAUGAUGUUACCUACACAUUCCACAACCACGCGAGGUUAGGUUACAUUCAAAUUAUUAUCUUUUAAGGCCCCAACGCUGAAACGCAGUCAUAUUACUGAGUGCAAUAAUAAUACUGCUCAUUAAUACUUUUUUUCAAGGCAUUCCUACUAAAAUGUACUUUUCCGCGAAAUUUCAAAGGUACUACUUUUUCGGCGGAGGAUGUCGGCAAUCGACCUUUGCUGUCACUAUUCUAUCAUUAAUUAUCUACACCUUUUCCAAGUGCUAUCACAUGCAUUUCAGAUUAGUUAAUUUAAUUUCAGAAAGCAUAAAUUGAAAUUCAGAUUAGUCAAUUAUACAGUGUGAUCAAAAAGUAUGUCUAUCAAGCAAGCGUAGAAAUUUAAAACAUAUGUCUGUGGAAGAUAAAAUGUCACAAUGACAUAUGAGAAAUGUCAAAAUAAUCUUUAUGUAAAUUAUGACAGGAAACUGUGGUGAAGGAUUUUUAUGAAUAAACACUAACAAAAUCUUAUUUUAGUUUGUUUUGAGACGUUUCAUAGAAUAAUUCAAUUUAAUUAACUCAAUGUUUUAAUUUUUAUAAAAUAAUUUUUUGACAUCUUAUUGUUAUCUCAAAAUGAAGUUCACACAUAAACACGAAUUAUUUUAUCUUCAAAACUAAAGAAUUACAUAAACUUGGUAUUAUACAAAAUAAAUAAGACAUUUUAUUUAAAAUUUCAGAAUUUGUUAUUUUCAUUUAAAAAUUACAAUUGACGAAUUCUCAAUUACAAGUGACAAACUCUCUGAAUUCCAUCUUAUAUUUUCUGAAAUUCAUUUUACUGUUUUGAAUUACAAUUAAUGUUUUUUGAAAUACAUCUUACGCUUUCCUAAUUACACUUGAAAAAGGUGUAGACUACAUCAUUAAAUAGACAUAAAAAAUGUCAAAUGUCAAAAUUUUUUGAAUUUUUUAAACAUUUUUCCAUAUUCUUGGUGUCUUAUCUUACUUGAAAUUUUUCUCUGGGGCGCGAGUCACACACCCUGUUCAAAAAACGCCAAACAUUUGUUGAUAGUUAGAACACUUUUCAAACAUCUUUCAACGAGUGAAAUCAUAUCAAAACAAUUAUUGUAAUUUAAUUUUGAUUGCGAUUUGAUGAUAUAAACCUAUUUAUUCAAUUUCACGAUACCAUAAAAUUGCACUCUAGAUUUGUCUGUUAUUUGUGAUAUUGAGUAAUUUAUAAUCAGUGUAUAUGUACAAUAUAAAUAAAUUUGUUUCCUGUC